AAACUUAAAGGGCCGCGGUAUAUUGACCGUGCAAAGGUAGCAUAAUCAUUAGUUUUUUAAUUGGAAACUUGUAUGAAUGGUUAAACAAAAGAAUUACUGUCUCUUUAUCUAUUAUUGAAUUUAACUUUUAAGUGAAAAGGCUUAAAUUUUUUAAGGGGACGAUAAGACCCUAUAAAGCAUUUUGUUGGGGCGACAAAGAUAUAAAUUAUAACUGUCAAAAAAUGAUACAUAAAUUUAUGAAAUGAUCCUUAUUUAAAGAUUAAAAGACUAAGUUACUUUAGGGAUAACAGCGUUAUUUCUUUUGAGAGUUCUUAUUGAAAAAGGAGUUUGCGACCUCGAUGUUGAAUUAAAGAAUCUUUAUAGUGCAGCCGUUAUAAAAAGAAGGUCUGUUCGACCUUUAAAUUUUU
rnacentral:rRNA from 1 species